UACAGAGGGGGCAAGCGUUGUUCGGAAUUACUGGGCGUAAAGGGCGCGUAGGCGGCCCGCUAAGUCGAACGUGAAAUCCCUGGGCUCAACCCAGGAACUGCGUCCGAUACUGGCAGGCUUGAAUCCGGGAGAGGGAUGCGGAAUUCCAGGUGUAGCGGUGAAAUGCGCAGAUAUCAGGAGGAACACCAAUGGCGAAGGCAGCACUCUGGGACGUGACUGACGCUGAGACGCGAAAGCGUGGGGAGCAAACAGG
rnacentral:rRNA from 1 species